rnacentral:rRNA from 1 species
UGGGGAAUAUUGCACAAUGGGCGAAAGCCUGAUGCAGCAACGCCGCGUGAGUGAUGAAGGUCUUCGGAUUGUAAAGCUCUGUCUUUUGGGACGAUAAUGACGGUACCAAAGGAGGAAGCCACGGCUAACUACGUGCCAGCAGCCGCGGUAAUACGUAGGUGGCGAGCGUUGUCCGGAUUUACUGGGCGUAAAGGGUGCGUAGGCGGAUGUUUAAGUGAGAUGUGAAAUACCCGGGCUUAACUUGGGUGCUGCAUUUCAAACUGGAUAUCUAGAGUGCAGGAGAGGAGAAUGGAAUUCCUAGUGUAGCGGUGAAAUGCGUAGAGAUUAGGAAGAACACCAGUGGCGAAGGCGAUUCUCUGGACUGUAACUGACGCUGAGGCACGAAAGCGUGGGUAGCAAAUAGGAUUAGAUACCCUGGUAGUCCACGCCGUAAACGAUGAGUACUAGGUGUAGGAGGUAUCGACCCCUUCUGUGCCGCAGU